rnacentral:rRNA from 1 species
GUAGUCCACGCCCUAAACGAUGUCAACUGGUUGUCGGGCCUUCAUUGGCUUGGUAACGUAGCUAACGCGUGAAGUUGACCGCCUGGGGAGUACGGUCGCAAGAUUAAAACUCAAAGGAAUUGACGGGGACCCGCACAAGCGGUGGAUGAUGUGGAUUAAUUCGAUGCAACGCGAAAAACCUUACCUACCCUUGACAUGGACGGAAGCUGGCCGAGAGGCCGGGGUGCCCCGAAAAGGGGGCGUCCGUA